UACGAAGGGAGCUAGCGUUGUUCGGAAUUACUGGGCGUAAAGGGCGCGUAGGCGGACAUCUAAGUCAGGGGUGAAAUCCCAGGGCUCAACCCUGGAAUUGCCUUUGAUACUGGACGUCUUGAGCUCGGGAGAGGUGAGUGGAAUUCCGAGUGUAGAGGUGAAAUUCGUAGAUAUUCGGAGGAACACCAGAAGCGAAGGCGGCUCACUGGCCCGAUACUGACGCUGAGGCGCGAAAGCGUGGGGAGCAAACAGG
rnacentral:rRNA from 1 species